CCUACGGGUGGCUGCAGUGAGGAAUAUUGGUCAAUGGACGUAAGCCUGAACCAGCCAAGUCGCGUGAGGGAUGAAGGUUCUAUGGAUCGUAAACCUCUUUUGUAAGGGAAUAAAGUGUGGGACGUGUCCUAUUUUGUAUGUACCUUAUGAAUAAGGAUCGGCUAACUCCGUGCCAGCAGCCGCGGUAAUACGGAGGAUCCGAGCGUUAUCCGGAUUUAUUGGGUUUAAAGGGUGCGUAGGCGGCCGUUUAAGUCAGCGGUGAAAGUCUGUGGCUCAACCACAGAAUUGCCGUUGAAACUGGGUGGCUUGAGAAUGUUUGCGGUAGGCGGAAUGGAUGGUGUAGCGGUGAAAUGCUUAGAUAUCACACAGAACCCCGAUUGCGAAGGCAGCCUGCCAAGCCACGACUGACGCUGAUGCACGAAAGCGUGGGGAUCAAACAGGAUUAGAUACCCGGGUAGUC
rnacentral:rRNA from 1 species